UUGACGGGGACCCGCACAAGCGGUGGAUGAUGUGGAUUAAUUCGAUGCAACGCGAAAACCUUACCUACCCUUGACAUGUCCGGAAUCCCGAAGAGAUUUGGGAGUGCUCGCAAGAGAACCGGAACACAGGUGCUGCAUGGCUGUCGUCAGCUCGUGUCGUGAGAUGUUGGGUUAAGUCCCGCAACGAGCGCAACCCUUGUCAUUAGUUGCCAUCAUUUGGUUGGGCACUCUAAUGAGACUGCCGGUGACAAACCGGAGGAAGGUGGGGAUGACGUCAAGUCCUCAUGGCCCUUAUGGGUAGGGCUUCACACGUCAUACAAUGGUCGGUACAGAGGGUUGCCAACCCGCGAGGGGGAGCUAAUCCCACAAAGCCGAUCGUAGUCCGGAUCGCAGUCUGCAACUCGACUGCGUGAAGUCGGAAUCGCUAGUAAUCGUGGAUCAGCAUGUCACGGUGAAUACGUUCCCGGGUCUU
rnacentral:rRNA from 1 species